GCCUUCAUAGCUCAGUGGCAGAGCGCUGGUCUUGUAAACCAGAGGGCGAGAGUUCAAUCCUCUCUGGAGGCA
rnacentral:tRNA from 1 species